rnacentral:rRNA from 1 species
GAUGAACGCUAGCGGCAGGCCUAAUACAUGCAAGUCGAACGGUGUAGCAAUACACAGUGGCGCACGGGUGCGUAACACGUAUGCAACCUACCUUACAUUGGGGGAUAGCCUUUCGAAAGGGAGAUUAAUACCGCAUAAGACAGUAACUAGGCAUCUAGUAGCUGUUAAAGAUUUAUCGAUGUAAGCUGGGCAUGCGUCCAAUUAGUUAGUUGGUGAGGUAACGGCUCACCAAGACGAUGAUUGGUAGGGGAACUGAGAGGUCAAUCCCCCACACUGGAACUGAGAUACGGGCCAGACUCCUACGGGAGGCAGCAGUAGGGAAUAUUGGGCAAUGGGCGCAAGCCUGACCCAGCCAUGCCGCGUGCAGGAAGAAGGCGUUAUGCGUUGUAAACUGCUUUUAUACAGGAAGAAACGACCCUUGCGAGGGGCAUUGACGGUACUGUAUGAAUAAGCACCGGCUAACUCCGUGCCAGCCGCCGCAGUAAUAC